rnacentral:rRNA from 1 species
GACGAACGCUGGCGGCGUGCCUAAUACAUGCAAGUUGAGCGAUGAAGAUUGGUGCUUGCACCAAUUUGAAGAGCAGCGAACGGGUGAGUAACGCGUGGGGAAUCUGCCUUUGAGCGGGGGACAACAUUUGGAAACGAAUGCUACUACCGCAUAACAACUUUAAACAUAAGUUUUAAGUUUGAAAGAUGCAAUUGCAUCACUCAAAGAUGAUCCCGCGUUGUAUUAGCUAGUUGGUGAGGUAAAGGCUCACCAAGGCGAAGAUACAUAGCCGACCUGAGAGGGUGGUCGGCCACAUUGGGACUGGGACACGGCCCAAACUCCUACGGGAGGCAACAGUAGGGAAUCUUCGGCAAUGGACGAAAGUCUGACCGAGCAACGCCGCGUGAGUGAAGAAAGGUUUCGGAUCGUAAAACUCUGUUGGUAGAGAAGAACGUUGGUGAGAGUGGAAAGCUCAUCAAGUGACGGUAACUACCCAGAAAGGGACGGCUAACUACGUG